rnacentral:rRNA from 1 species
UACGUAGGGUGCGAGCGUUGUCCGGAAUCACCGGGCGUAAAGGGUGCGUAGGCGGGUCUUUAAGUCAGGGGUGAAAUCCUGGAGCUCAACUCCAGAACUGCCUUUGAUACUGAGGAUCUUGAGUUCGGGAGAGGUGAGUGGAACUGCGAGUGUAGAGGUGAAAUUCGUAGAUAUUCGCAAGAACACCAGUGGCGAAGGCGGCUCACUGGCCCGGUACUGACGCUGAGGUGCGAAAGCGUGGGGAGCAAACAGG